GGCAAGGGGAACACGGAGCAGCCGGGAGAGCCGAGAAAGAAGAAAAUUAGUUUCUGAGAAAAGAACACUCUAGAGUGCAGCAAAGCUGGAUGCAAAAGGAAAAGAAAGCUACUUUUUGGGUUACAAAUGCUUGAAAACCAAAGGUUUACAUCACCUGGAGUGUUAACAGAAGGUUGUGGUCCUAAAGAGAGAAUUAAACACAGUGAGCAGGGAGAAGGCCGUCGUCCACUUCUCACUGAAUCCUUCCCCCCACCUUUGGACUUGACCCCAGGCAGCUCCCCGUCAGUGCUCUGGUAAAGCGAGGAAAGAGACACUGCAGUCAGGAGCUGCAAUCCAGCAGCUCACGUGGGGCCACUAUUGUUUCACCAGCCAAGGCUCUGUCUAGGCAGACAUGAAGGAAACCUGUGCAUACUAAUGAAUAAAAAGGUUUGAGGACAUCUGCAGAGAAAAUACUUCCCUCUGGUUUCAACUCAGUGGGUCUUGUCGACAUAAUUCAACUAGAGAAAAAAGACAACUAGCACCAAGUGCUUGCAGAAAUCCUGGGAGAUUUAUUACAAACACCAACUACCUUCAUAUAACAUAUAAACACACACUGCUAAGUGCUUGAGAUAGCCCUAUGCUCAAAGGGUAACUGUUAAAAUAACUUUUAACUUCCUGAAUCUACUGGUCUAGAUAAACAUCUGCUACUGAUGAAGCAGAUGAGACAGGCAAAGGAAAGAUUUGAUUUGCCAUAGAUUAUGAUCCAAGCAACUGAGACAGAAGGAAAAAUGUCUGAAAAUCAGUUGACACAUCAGUUGUGAAUUGUGGCACAGAGAAUUAGACCCCUAGAGAGUGAAACACCUGUGGCAUAAAUGGGUACAGUGGAAUAGCCACUUUUGGAUCACUAUAUAGUCAAUGGGGAGAAACAACACUUUUUUCCUCCUCUUUGUUUUACUUUAAGCUGUUUAACUGAUCUUACCCAUUUUCAACAACUCUUUUUAGAUGUAGGGUGUUAGAUGACUCAUAUCUUUAAGCUGCCUGUUUCCCUCUGCUAAUUGUAAAAUGAGUUUUUGGGGCUAUCUCACAUAGAGUUGCAUCCUGGGCAUUUGACCAGAUGAACAACUCUGUAAAUGCUAUAACUGAUGUCUGUGUCUGAACCCUAAAAAGAGCCUCAGCAGCGCUGUGGUGCCCAACCCUGCAGCUCACACAGCCACAUUGCAGGCACACCACAGCACUCCUCUGCAGUGCUACUAACACUGUCACUUACUGAAACCGAGAGGAUUAGAAAAGAAUAAAGAAAAUCCCUACUGCUUUUUUGCCUUGGGGCAGCAGAGGAACGGACAUGCCAGGAUCACCUUGAGUUAUAGAGUGGCAUCCUAGUCAGUCUCAUGUAUUUAAUCCUUUUGUGCCAGCAGGAAGUCGAAAAGUCUGGCCUGCAAAGAUUUAAUUAUAUACUAGUAAGGCUAAUUAAAAAAAGGAGAUGAGAAAAAAGAAAAAAGUCUUUUUAGAGUUUAUAAAGUCUUACCUACUCUAAACCUAAAAUUUAUUUCCAUGUGACUGAAGGCUUUUCUCUAGCAAGGAAGAGGAAAUAACAUUGAAAUGGGAAAUAAAACUGCAGAUAACAUGCUUUUUAUUUUUGUCUUAUAACCUUGGAGAAAUGGCAGCAAAUAUUUUUGUAUACUGUUUUGCUCUGACUGACACAUUCAUGUUCAAAUUUUAAUGUUGUUAACAGCCGUUCUUACAGUAAAAACAUGGUUUUUUGAAUAAAUUCUGCUUAUGUUAUUUCUUACAGUGUUAAAACUUUGUCAGAUAACUAUGUCAAAUAAAUACGUAUCUGUGAUACAAUAUGAAUGGGAUAGAGUAGAGGUGACUGCAUGGAAAAUGAACUCUGUAGCCUUUCCCUUGCACUGUUUCCUAGUAUGUUUCUCUCAGAUAUUGGUACUGUAAACAUCUGAGA